rnacentral:misc_RNA from 1 species
CAUUUCCUUUAAUUUGGGGAUUGCAUGUGCACACCUUCUCUUUCAUCCACACACCCCUGUGCACUUGUGAGACAGAUUGCUUUUUGGAGGGGGAACUUUAUGGAACCCUUUCUUUGUCUCUCUCUGUCCACUUAAAUAAUAUAAACUCUUUUUAUUUUAAAGAGAAUGUAGGGUGUGUCACAUCUCUAACAAUAUUUCUCCACCGCGGCUCUCUUGUCUCUCGCCUCGAAAAAAAACACCGAAAUGCGCUAUAUGUUGUGUGUUUUGCAAAUUUCUGUGAAUCAUCAACUCUUAGAACGCCUUUUGCUCUCUUUGGUUUUCUGUGGAACGUGCCUGUUAGAAUAUCAAAAUCUCUACAAAAUAAUAUCUUUUGUUUUCUCUUGUGUUUUCUCUUUGAUUUUAGAUGUCUAUUGCAUCCUCACCCGCGCCCCUCUUUUUAUUUUAGGUGUCUCUCUGUGUUAUUCGUGGCCCCACUCCGCGUGAAUUUUAUAUAUCNGUGAAGACUUUUUUUUUCCCCGGUAAAAAAAUUUUGAGAGGGGCGCACGGGGUUGAUGCAGAACACCCUCUUCUAAUACUCCGGNGUCUUNAACAA